AUUGAACGCUGGCGGCAUGCCUUACACAUGCAAGUCGAACGGUAACGGGCCUUCGGGUGCCGACGAGUGGCGAACGGGUGCGUAAUACAUCGGAACGUGCCCGAUCGUGGGGGUUAACGAGGCGAAAGCUUUGCUAAUACCGCAUACGAUCUACGGAUGAAAGCAGGGGACCGCAAGGCCUUGCGCGGACGGAGCGGCCGAUGGCAGAUUAGGUAGUUGGUGGGAUAAAAGCUUACCAAGCCGACGAUCUGUAGCUGGUCUGAGAGGAUGAUCAGCCACACUGGGACUGAGACACGGCCCAGACUCCUACGGGAGGCAGCAGUGGGGAAUUUUGGACAAUGGGCGCAAGCCUGAUCCAGCCAUGCCGCGUGCAGGAUGAAGGCCUUCGGGUUGUAAACUGCUUUUGUACGGAACGAAAAGCCUUCUUUUAAUACAGGAGGGUCAUGACGGUACCGUAAGAAUAAGCACCGGCUAACUACGUG
rnacentral:rRNA from 1 species